rnacentral:rRNA from 1 species
GGCGGACGGGUGAGUAAUACGUUAGGAAUCUACCCUAGAGUGGGGGAUAACCCGGGGAAACUCGGGCUAAUACCGCAUAGUCUCUACGGAGUAAAGGUGGCUAGCAAUAGCUAUCGCUAUGGGAUGAGCCUACGCCGGAUUAGCUAGUUGGUAGGGUAAAAGCCUACCAAGGCGACGAUCCGUAGCUGGUCUGAGAGGACGACCAGCCACACUGGGACUGAGAUACGGCCCAGACUCCUACGGGAGGCAGCAGUGGGGAAUAUUGGACAAUGGGCGAAAGCCAGAUCCAGCAAUGCCGCGUGUAUGAUGA